GGGGGGGGGGGUUCUUUUUUAAUAAAGAUGGAAAAAUGGUCUUCACUGCUUUGUUCUCCCAGUGGGGCUGGAGGUGGGGAGGCCCCAGACUUCGGGAGGUUGAUGUCCCUAGUUUCUGACCUUUUCCUUCUCUUAGGCUCAGCUCUUGGGCACCACAAGAGUCUGGAGAAUGUAGAGUGUCAUAGAAUGCUGCAGACUCCUCUAGGCAAGGCUGGCACUGGGCCUAAAGGGGCAUUUGGGAAGUCCCCAGAGUUCACUGGAUGCCAGAGGGACUGGCAGUGAAACACCAUGCAGAAGGAGGAAUCCUCCCAGAGCUGUCUAGCCAAGGAUCAACCUGAGACUGACCUGACAGCUCCUUCCCACACACCAAACACAUGCCCACCAGGGGCGAGCCCUGGCUAGCAUCUGCUUGUUCACCCCGCCAAACUUUGAGGAGGAAUUAGCAACACCUCCGUGCAGGAAACUAAGAAUUGAGGAUGUGAAAUCUGACCAGAAGGCACAGGGGCUGGAAUCCUGCCAAUCUCAAGCACAGACCAGAUUCACCCAUCCUGCAGCAGGCUGUGCAUCUGAAUCCUCCCAGAGCUGCCUCUGGCCAAGGAUCAACCUGGGACUGACCUGACAGCUCCUGCCUGCACACCAAACACCCAUUCAGGAACCCCACCCUCCAGCCCCUCUAUGUAGGACUGGGCUGAGACCCAGGAUCCAAGCUGCAGCCUCUGAACAUCCGGCUCAUCACGUGCCAAAGAUUCUGCAGCUGGAGGCUCCAGCCUCAUAUCCCUCCCACAACGUCCCAGGGCUGGGUUUCUUUCCUCUCCCAUGUCCUUUGCUUGGGCCAGGAAUGUGCUAACGGGGCAGGUUGGGCUCUGUUGUUCUACUCAGGCACCUGUGGACUUUGAGAGGGUAAUAAGUGGGGUGGGAAGGGA